UUCCUGGUGGUCUGGUGGUUAAGACUCUGCACUCCCGAUGCAGGGGGCCUGGGUUCGAUCCCCGGUCAGGGAA